rnacentral:rRNA from 1 species
UACGUAGGGUGCAAGCGUUAAUCGGAAUUACUGGGCGUAAAGCGUGCGCAGGCGGUUAUGCAAGACAGAUGUGAAAUCCCCGGGCUCAACCUGGGAACUGCAUUUGUGACUGCAUGGCUAGAGUACGGUAGAGGGGGAUGGAAUUCCGCGUGUAGCAGUGAAAUGCGUAGAUAUCAGGAGGAAUACCGAUGGCGGAGGCAGGUCUCUGGGCUGACACUGACGCUCAUGCACGAAAGCGUGGGGAGCAAACAGG